rnacentral:miRNA from 1 species
UUUUUUUUUUUUUUGAGAUAGGGUCUCAUUAUGUAGUCCAGGCUAGGCUUGAACUCACUGUGUAGCCCAGGCUAGCCUCAAACUCAUGGCAAUCCUCCUGCUUCAGCCUC